rnacentral:tRNA from 1 species
GAAGAUGUAGUUCAGUGGUAGAAUGUGUGCUUAGCAUGCACGAGGUCCUGGGUUCAACCCCAGUACUUCCG